rnacentral:miRNA from 1 species
GAGAGUUUGUGUGUGUGUGUGUGUGUGUGUGUGCGCGCGCGUGCGUGCGCACAUAGGCAUACACACAUGCACACACACAAG